CUCUUGCAGUGGAAGAGUUUAGGCUUACAGUCAGCAGGCAAAGGUGAACUAUGACCUCAAAUCACAAGAGGAUACCAAAAGAAUUUCCAAAACCAUGGAAUAUAACAAUGCCUUUUGUCCAUAGGGCUGUGAAAUCCUUUAUCAGCUCUGGAUAUGUUCUCGACAUCAGUUGGAGCCGAGUACACUUCCCAGCAAUUGAGGGUGAAGAUACACAAGAAGGAUUCAACAGAUGAAAAAGCAUGUUGCUAAAAGGAAGAAGCUCCAUUUUUACUGUGCCCUUCUGCACUUCCCACUGAUCUUGGGUGGAUUUUGGUGUUCACUGGGCCCCUCUAUGAAGAUGAUGUCCCAGUAAAAAGGGACAGGGUUGUGUUUGCAUGUUUAGUUUUUUGCUAUAUUAGCGAGCUGAAUUAGUUCAACAGUCACAUUGGCAAUACAGCCAAUAAGAGGAAAGGGGCAGGAUGUGCAGCAGAUGACAGUAGCAGAUGGGAGGGAGGGGCAAGAGGAAAAGAAAUGCAAGCAAAGUUGUGAUCGUCUCAACUCGAUCACAGGUCACCUUAUGUAACUCUUCUCCAUUACAACAAGCAUUCAGUCCAACACAGAAUCAGAUCUUAAAUUAACAUACGUAUUUCUCUAUCUACUCACCUACCCACUCACCAUCCUAUUUACAAAUAUGCCACUCCUGAGCAGAUAAUACAGUUAAGCGAAGAACAGAGAUUUUGGCGACUGAAAGUAAUUUUAAGGAACCUCAGGGAGUGAGUCUCUUUCUAGGGCCUCCACUGAAAAAGUCACAGAAAACUGCAUCAGAACAUCCUUAGUCAUUCCCUAGUCUCUACGGUGUCUUAGUAUGACAAUUCUUUCAUUCUGUGGACUAAAGCGUUCCUGUCAUUCUCACAUGCAUACUGGAAGACUUUUGAAAAAAUACUUUCAUAAUGUUGAAAGUUUACACCUUAAAAAAAAAAA